rnacentral:rRNA from 1 species
GCCCCCGAGACUUCGGUCUCAAUGGGGGAGUGGCGAACGGGUGAGUAACACGUGAGAAACCUGCCUUGAAGAUCGGGACAACCACUGGAAACGGUGGCUAAUACCGAAUACCUUCCUACCGUCGCAUGGCGGUUUGAAGAAAUGCUCCGGCGCUUCAAGAGGGUCUCGCGGCCUAUCAGCUUGUUGGUGAGGUAACGGCUCACCAAGGCAUCGACGGGUAGCUGGUCUGAGAGGACGAUCAGCCACACUGGGACUGAGACACGGCCCAGACUCCUACGGGAGGCAGCAGUGGGGAAUCUUGCGCAAUGGGCGAAAGCCUGACGCAGCGAUGCCGCGUGGGGGAUGAAGGCUCUCGGGUCGUAAACCCCUUUCAGCAGGGACGAAAAUGACGGUACCUGCAGAAGAAGCCCCGGCCAACUACGUGCCAGCAGCCGCGGUAACACGUAGGGGGCGAGCGUUGUCCGGAUUUAUUGGGCGUAAAGAGCUCGUAGGCUGUUCAGUAAGUCAGGUGUGAAAACCCAAGGCUCAACCUUGGGACGCCACUUGAUACUGCUGUGACUAGAGUCCGGUAGAGGAGAUUGGAAUUCCUGGUGUAGCGGUGAAAUGCGCAGAUAUCAGGAGGAACACCAACGGCGAAGGCAGAUCUCUGGGCCGGUACUGACGCUGAGGAGCGAAAGCAUGGGGAGCGAACAGGAUUAGAUACCCUGGUAGUCCAUGCCGUAAACGUUGGGCACUAGGUGUGGGGUCUAUUCAACGGAUUCCGUGCCGCAGCUAACGCAUUAAGUGCCCCGCCUGGGGAGUACGGCCGCAAGGCUAAAACUCAAAGGAAUUGACG